GGAAGUUUGUCUCUUUUUAUUGACUAAGAUCUUUUCAACGCGUUCAGUCAAAAUAACAAAUUGUUCGACUCAUUUCGAUAAUUUGAGUGGGUAAAGCCCAGAGCACACAGGACCCCCUAACGCCGAACGAUUAACUGAAAAAUCGAAAGAGUCAUGAUUCUACAAGUCUCUCGUUCACAUUUCGUUCACCAUAGCGGGCUUAUUGGAGCUGCCAUUUGUGACUGAGACAUGUAAACGUGUGCUAUGAGCAAUGUACAUUUGUGGAUUGCUAGGCAUACAAAUAAGAUUAGCCUAUUUCUUCAAACAUUUGAAAUGAGGUGUGGUUGUGGCCACAACCGGUCUAGAUUGUGAAGGACUCAUAAAUGACUGCCGUGAGGGUGAUAAGCACAAUGUCUUUCGUGAACUGCAUCCCCCCCCCCCAAAUGAUUUGUUCUGGAGUUCGAGUUUGUUGAGCAGAGGCUGCGUAUGUUUUGGUUCUACAAAUCUGUGUCCAUCAUAACAUUCAAUAAUCAAAUAAUUGCAUUCAUUAUUGCAAUCAAUUAUCAGUUCUAAAUAUGUUUUUUUCCUCCAUAUGCUCGUGAUCUAUUUCCCUGCGCACAUGACAGAGAGUUGGGGGUCGGUGCACGUCUCUGGAGCCGCUGAGCCGGAGGAGCGUGUAUUAAAGGGGAAUUUCACCCUGGGGGAAUCUGGGCUUGUUUUCAUUAUGUCUGCGGCAUUUCGAGGACGGUGAGAUGUAAUUGCCCAGGAGGAAGGCAGGUCAGGGAUUCACACGCUGAAUGAUACACCCAAUGACGGCUUCCGGUGUAUUGGGGGGGGUAGGUACUUCAUGCUCUAGCCCCUGUACCUCCCCCAAGACAGGCUUUUUUUUUUUUUUUAAGAGGCAGACACUAACAACAAUCCUUUGGGCAAAACUGAAAAAAAUAACCAGACGCUAUGGCUUCAAGUGAUUCCUCAUAUCAACAUGAAUUCAACGAUGGAGCAUCUAUUAGCUACAUGGUGACAUUCAACCAUACAUGUUUCAACCGGAAUAUAGUGAAGAGGAUUCUAAAUAAAGAGUUGGAUUUAGCUAAUGUUAGAAGCUCAGCUACAGCCGAUGCCAGCACCAAGAGGGCAGAUGACAAAUACGGUGCCUAGCUAAACAAUACCGUUUGGUGCCUGGACAACAUCCUGGAGUGAAUUCUAGAUACAGAAACAUAAUUAAUUUGCCUGCGUGUGUCAUUGUAGCAGAACUGUAUCCUGUGAACUGUAUCCAUCUCGAGCGAUUAGACAUUAUGCUGGAAUUCAAGAAGAUGACUCACGAGGAGCUGAAUGGCAGUUUGAUCAUGACAACAAUCGUCCCACUUCUCCCACAUUUUUACAAGCAUUCCCUGAUCUUACUGUUUCUUUGGAAUGGCAAUUUUAUCAUGGCCACCUCUCCCAUCAUCUGCUGAUCACCAGUUCUCUUAGCUACAGAUCGUUACAGCAGAUAACACCAGUGAUUUAACCAAAGAUGUUUGGUAUCCAUUACUGGGACUUACAGGACAGGUAGUGUUUGGUGUAGCACAGAAAGAUCAACCUUAGCGGUGCCGUAUUUGUCCUCGAUUCGAAGAAACAGGAGUCUCUCAAAAUGUUUGUGCCCAGUUGCAGGGGGUCAGUUUGAAUUUAGAAAAUGCUCUGUUAUUAAAAUAAAUACUUUUUUUUUUUUGAUCCAUCAAGUAAUCAAACUAUGUGCGCCGCCAUCGUGUGUAUUUCAAGUCUUCUCUUUGAUCGAGACAGCUAUCUGUGUCAUGACAUAGAGCUCUGUGAGAGAAGACUUGAAAUAGACAAGAUGUCGGCAAAAAUCUUUGGGUAAAUCACAUUAUCUGGCGUAACAAUCUGUAGCUACAGUUUUCGGCACUUGUGUGUCUCUACACCUGAGACACACUCUGACACAUUGAACUGUACUACACUUUUCAUACCAUUUUUUGUAUGUUACUUUUACCAUAUAACAUUGUUGUUCUCUUGAGUUAGCAUUAAAUAGUGUACAAUCUCCUCUAUUUUAGAUUUUGAGAAAUAAACAAACAUUCUUUGGA